GGACCAAAGAAGAGCUUGCUCUUCGGCGGUUAGCGGCGGACGGGUGAGUAACACGUAGGCAACCUGCCUGUACGACUGGGAUAACUCCGGGAAACCGGAGCUAAUACCGGAUACGUUUUUCAGACCGCAUGGUCUGAAAGAGAAAGACCUUUGGUCACGUACAGAUGGGCCUGCGGCGCAUUAGCUAGUUGGUGGGGUAACGGCCUACCAAGGCGACGAUGCGUAGCCGACCUGAGAGGGUGAUCGGCCACACUGGGACUGAGACACGGCCCAGACUCCUACGGGAGGCAGCAGUAGGGAAUCUUCCGCAAUGGACGAAAGUCUGACGGAGCAACGCCGCGUGAACGAUGAAGGUUUUCGGAUCGUAAAGUUCUGUUGUUAGGGAAGAACCGCCGGGAUGACCUCCCGGUCUGACGGUACCUAACGAGAAAGCCCCGGCUAACUACGUGCCAGCAGCCGCGGUAAUACGUAGGGGGCAAGCGUUGUCCGGAAUUAUUGGGCGUAAAGCGCGCGCAGGCGGCUUCUUAAGUCAGGUGUGAAAGCCCACGGCUCAACCGUGGAGGGCCACUUGAAACUGGGAGGCUUGAGUGCAGGAGAGGAGAGCGGAAUUCCACGUGUAGCGGUGAAAUGCGU
rnacentral:rRNA from 1 species